rnacentral:ncRNA from 1 species
UUUUUGGUUUGGUUCUGGUCGGAGGUUUGGCUUUUUCAAAAAUGAUACAUGAUAGUUUAUGCGGGCUUGUGAGUUUUACAAAAGUUCUAAAAGUUUUUUCCUUAGAUUUUAGUAUUUGCUAAAAUGUUGAUUUUGGGGCACAGCAUCAGUAUGAAGUUUUAGUUGUUUAUGAGUGGAAGCUUGAGUUAGUUAUUGAGAGUUAAAGUUAGCAAAUUUUGUGCCAGCAGCUGCGGUUAUGCAAAAGGCUUGAGUUAAAUUUAUGUAGUUUAUAAUUUGGUUAUUUUUGGAUUGGUUGAUGGGGUAAAGUUUAUUUGGGGGUAAAAUCCGUAGAUAUUGUUGUGUUGCGUGGUCAAAAAUUUGUGAAGAUGCCAUUUGAGGUUAAGGGGGAGACCGGGAUUAGAGACCCCGUUAUUCUUUAUAAUUACUUUUUUGUUACUGGGGGAUUAAGAGAGUGCUUAAAACUCAAAGAACUUGGCGGUGCUUUAUACAAAUUAGAGGAACCUGUCCUGUAAUCGAUAAUCCACGUUAAAGUGUUCUUUUUUUUGUUUGGUUAGUUUGUGUACUUCCGUUGUCAGCUUAUGUUUGUAGAUAAAGUAUGUGCUUUUUAAUUUUUGUUUGGACAUCAGGUCAAGGUGCAGUGGAUAAAAAAGGAGAGAUGGGUUACAUUUAGUUAAGUUUUUUGGUGCCUGUGGUGGAAAACAGAGGUUAAAUUGGAUUUAAUAGUAAUUUGGUUGAGAUUAGUAUGUUUCUUUGAAUUUUGCUCUGGAGUGUGUACAAAUUGCCCGUCGCUCUUUUCGUGCGAGAAAAGAUAAGUCGUAACAUAGUAAGGGUAGCGGAAGCUGUUCUUAGUUU